GACGAACGCUGGCGGCAUGCCUAAUACAUGCAAGUCGAGCGAACAGAUGAAGUGCUUGCACUUCUGACGUUAGCGGCGAACGGGUGAGUAACACGUAAGGAAUCUACCUAUAAGCGGGGGAUAACAUUCGGAAACGGGUGCUAAUACCGCAUAAUAUCUUCUUCCGCAUGGAAGGAGAUUGAAAGACGGCUCUGCUGUCACUUAUAGAUGACCUUGCGGUGCAUUAGUUAGUUGGUGGGGUAACGGCCUACCAAGACGAUGAUGCAUAGCCGACCUGAGAGUGGGGUCGGACACAUUGGGACUGGGACACGGCCCAAACUCCUACGGGAGGCAGCAGUAGGGAAUCUUCCGCAGUGGGCGAAAGCCUGACGGAGCAAUGCCGCGUGAGUGAAGAAGGCCUUCGGGUCGUAAAACUCUGUUAUAAGAGAAGAACAAAUUGUAGAGUAACUGCUACAGUCUUGACGGUAUCUUAUCAGAAAGCCACGGCUAACUACGUGCCAGCCGCCGCGGUAA
rnacentral:rRNA from 1 species